GAAUGCUUCUUAGUAUAUUCUUAUUGGAGAACUGUGUUUAUUAACUAUUAUGCAAAAAUGCUUUAUAGGUUAUGGGCACAAGUUUCACAGUGGCGACAAGAUCGGUCGAAUCAAGCUAUAUAUAUAUGUGUGUGGCAUACUUUCAAGGAUAUAUAUUUGCUGUCCAUCUGCUUUUAGUAGAUUUGUACAUGCUUCUGUUAGCUCCAUUGGCUAAAUACAAGCAAGCACCUGGCGGUGGUGACAUUCGUUGAUUGCCAGGUGCCAACCAAUAUAAUCAAUUACCAUUUUUCUGUAAUUCUUUCCCUAAGCAUGAUGGUAUAUUAAUCUCCAUGAAAAUACGUACUGUGUCAUAAACUUACAUUUCCUGUAAACUAAAUUAAAUUUCAUAUCCUGUACUAUCUUUGCUUAACUA